UGCGGAGGGUGAGAGCGUUAAUCGGAAUAACUGGGCGUAAAGGGCACGCCGGCGAGCUUUUAAGUGAGAUGUGAAAUCCCCGGGCUUAACCUGGGAAUAGCAUUUCAGACUGGGAGUCUAGAGUAGUUUAGGGAGGGGUAGAAUUCCACGUGUAGCGGUGAAAUGCGUAGAGAUGUGAGGAAUACCGAAGGCGAAGGCAGCCCCUUGGGAAUGUUCUGACGCUCAUGUGCGAAAGCGUGGGGAGCAAACAGG
rnacentral:rRNA from 1 species